UACGGAGGAUGCAAGCGUUAUCCGGAUUGAUUGGGCGUAAAGGGUGUGUAGGUGGCGCGCUAAGUCGGGUGUGAAAUUUCGGAGCUUAACUCCGAAACUGCAUUCGAUACUGGCGUGCUUGAGGACUGGAGAGGAGACUGGAAUUUACGGUGUAGCAGUGAAAUGCGUAGAUAUCGUAAGGAAGACCAGUGGCGAAGGCGGGUCUCUGGACAGUUCCUGACACUGAGACACGAAGGCCAGGGGAGCAAACGGG
rnacentral:rRNA from 1 species